rnacentral:rRNA from 1 species
GACGAACGCUGGCGGCGUGCUUAACACAUGCAAGUCGAACGAUGAAGCCGAGCUUGCUCGGUGGAUUAGUGGCGAACGGGUGAGUAACACGUGAGCAACCUGCCCCUAACUCUGGGAUAACGCUUCGAAAGGAGUGCUAAUACCGGAUAUGAGCCUGGAAGACAUCUUCUGGGUUGGAAAGUUUUUCGGUUAGGGAUGGGCUCGCGGCCUAUCAGCUUGUUGGUGAGGUAAUGGCUCACCAAGGCGACGACGGGUAGCCGGCCUGAGAGGGCGACCGGCCACACUGGGACUGAGACACGGCCCAGACUCCUACGGGAGGCAGCAGUGGGGAAUAUUGGGCAAUGGGCGAAAGCCUGAUCCAGCAAUGCCGCGUGAGUGAUGAAGGCCUUAGGGUUGUAAAGCUCUUUUACCCGAGAUGAUAAUGACAGUAUCGGGAGAAUAAGCUCCGGCUAACUCCGUG